GACGAACGCUGGCGGCGUGCCUAAUACAUGCAAGUAGAACGCUGAAGGAGGAGCUUGCUUCUCUGGAUGAGUUGCGAACGGGUGAGUAACGCGUAGGUAACCUGCCUGGUAGCGGGGGAUAACUAUUGGAAACGAUAGCUAAUACCGCAUAAGAGUAGAUGUUGCAUGACAUUUACUUAAAAGGUGCAAUUGCAUCACUACCAGAUGGACCUGCGUUGUAUUAGCUAGUUGGUGAGGUAACGGCUCACCAAGGCAACGAUACAUAGCCGACCUGAGAGGGUGAUCGGCCACACUGGGACUGAGACACGGCCCAGACUCCUACGGGAGGCAGCAGUAGGGAAUCUUCGGCAAUGGACGGAAGUCUGUCCGAGCAACGCCGCGUGAGUGAAGAAGGUUUUCGGAUCGUAAAGCUCUGUUGUAAGAGAAGAACGAGUGUGAGAGUGGAAAGUUCACACUGUGACGGUAUCUUACCAGAAAGGGACGGCUAACUACGUG
rnacentral:rRNA from 1 species